GGUAAGAUGGCCGAGCGGCAGGCGGCGAGCUGUAAACUCGCCCAGGGUGGUUUAAGUCCACCUCCUACC
rnacentral:tRNA from 1 species